AUUCUGCAUGUGUAUCCACAACUUAAAGUAUAAUAAAAGAAAAGAAAAGGAAAGAAAAGAACUCUAGGUCAACACAGGUAGUUAAUAAAAUGUGUAUAGCUAUUGUUGCUUAUAUUCUUAUCUUAUUUUUUUCUGAAUUUGUCUUGGCUAGAUAUUACUUCAUAAAGCCACUUCACAAUAUAUUGCCAACCAGGAAACAAUGCUAAAAAUUACUCAUGGUCAUUUCUAUAGAAUGAAAGAAAGUUAAGAUUUGAUGAGAUGUGCAAAUAUUGUCAGGAGAACUGACCUGAAUUUUGAUUAUGUACCAGCCUCACCCUCUGCCACCCUUGCUCCAACAGUUUAUGCUUGGCUGUGGAUAGUCCAGUUGACAUCAAGGGACUGUGGGGCUACCAAUAAAUAGAAAACAAGCUGGAAAGAGCCUGUAUCCCUGCAUCAUCACAUAGAAGAAAGUCAUCUUCCAACCAGGAACACACACAUUGAACUCUUAUGUGAACAUGAAAUGGACUUAAGAAAAUUUAUUGUUUGUGUUUAAGGUAUACAACAUGAUGUUAUGAGAUAUAUAUGGUAAAAUGAUUACUACAGUGAAACAAAGUAACAUAUUCAUCAUCUCACAUAGUUAUCCAUUUUUCCCUCCUGUGGCAAG